AUUGAACGCUGGCGGCAGGCCUAACACAUGCAAGUCGAACGAGUGGCGGACGGGUGAGUAAUGUCUGGGAAACUGCCCGAUGGAGGGGGAUAACUACUGGAAACUGUAGCUAAUACCGCAUACCAUCAGAUGUACCCAUAUGGGAUUAGCUAGUAGGUGGGGUAACGGCUCACCUAGGCGACGAUCCCUAGCUGGUCUGAGAGGAUGACCAGCCACACUGGAACUGAGACACGGUCCAGACUCCUACGGGAGGCAGCAGUGGGGAAGAUUGCACAAUGGGCGCAAGCCUGAUGCAGCCAUGCCGCGUGUAUGAAGAAGGCCUUCGGGUUGUAAAGUACUUUCAGCGGGGAGGCGUUACUCGCAGAAGAAGCACCGGCUAACUCCGUGCCAGCAGCCGCGGUAAUUC
rnacentral:rRNA from 1 species